rnacentral:lncRNA from 1 species
GAUACUUUGAUUUGUUGCAUUGCAUGGUCAUAAUAUAUCUUAAGGGCUAACCGAUUAAUCAGAUAAGGUGAAGAUUUCAUCACCCCUCUUUAGCCCAAAAAUCACAAUCCAUCAUUCUGUAUUAAUCCAAGCCUUAAUUUUAAAAUUAAUUAGACGUCAGCUCUAAGGUGUUCGAGCUCAUUAGGACAAGGCAUCCGAAAGAGUUAGACC